rnacentral:rRNA from 1 species
CACGGGGGUUGCGAGCGUUGUCCGGAAUUACUAGGCGUAAAGGGCAGGCAGGCGGAUCCAUAAGUUUAUCGUUUAAGGCGUCGGCUUAACCGGCGUAGGGCGGUAGAUACUGUGGAUCUGGAAUGCGGUUGGGGAAGACAGAAUUCCUGGUGUAGCGGUGGAAUGCGCAGAGAUCAGGAGGAAUACCGAAGGCGAAGGCAGUCUUCCAAGCCGUUAUUGACGCUCAACUGCGAAGGUGUGGGUAUCAAACAGGUUUAGAUACCCCCGUAGUCCCUGAG